AACGAACGCUGGCGGCAUGCCUAACACAUGCAAGUCGAACGAAACCUUCGGGCUUAGUGGCGCACGGGUGCGUAACGCGGGGGAAUCUGCCCCUUGCUUCGGAAUAACAGUUAGAAAUGACUGCUAAUACCGGAUGAAGUCUUCGGACCAAAGACUUAUCGGCAAGGGAUGGGCCCGUGUAGGAUUAGGUAGUUGGUGGGGUAAAGGCCUACCAAGCAGACGAUCCUUAGCUGGUCGGAGAGGAUGAUCAGCCACACUGGGACUGAGACACGGCCCAGACUCGGACGGGAGGCAGCAGUGGGGAAUAUUGUACAAGGGACGCAAGUCUGAUCCAGCAAUGUCGCGUGAGUGAUGAAGGCCUUAGGGUUGUAAAUCCCUUUUACCAGGGAUGAUAAUGACAGUACCUGGAGAAUAAGCACCGGCUAACUACGUG
rnacentral:rRNA from 1 species